rnacentral:lncRNA from 1 species
AGAGUCACCAUGUGAUCCCAGGGAAGAGAGGAUGCAUGCUGCUGGUGUCCUUGAUAAGGUGCCCUAACAACACUGAAACAAACCCAACAAUUAUUUGCAGUGGCCAAGGAAAUAAACAUACAACCUUGAGGCUUUGAACUUCAACUUCCACACCAAUACAAGCUACAAAUCAUGAGUGAGGACCAAAUGAUGUUGUCAGUUACGUGGGAACCAGGGGUCAUUCUUCCGUGAAUUCAGAGUCAGCACUGAAGGAAGAUGGCUUGACAACCAAGACCAACGGAAAGCCACAUGGCAGUGAGACAGCCUCUCUGGAAAGCCAGCAUCUGCCGUGGAGCAGUUGGUUCCACAUAAACAGGAAAUUUGAAGCCCCAAAUAUUUUGAUUCAGCCUUGUUUAAAAUUAUUGGUGAGACUGUAUGUUAAGAGGCUAAACAGUAUGAAGCUAGAUGCAUGUGGGCAGAAAAUAAUUGUUGAUACAACCUUUUGUUUGAAAAACGGAGAAGUUGAAAAUUUUACCUAGAGAAAUGAAAGAUUGA